UUAACAUUUGGGUACGGGAGAUCAAUCAAGGUUUGACAGGCAUGGAUCCGGAUCGCAGUAGAAGUAAUUAAAUGCUUUGGUGCACAUAUGUCCUACUGGCUGGGAGAAUACAGAGUAUGUCCUUGGUGUACAUUCAGAGAUGGAGCUAGUACUGGUACUCAGAUCAGUCAUCAAGAGGAGAACAGUACAAGAAAUGGAGGUACAGAGUAAUUAAAGAUUGUUGGGCACAUGAUCAUUGCCUGCCCAAGAACCGAAAGCAUACAAGAGGCCGGCAAAAGAAAGAUUCAGAGUAGAUAUCUGUUAGCAUCAUCAGCUCAUUCCAAGCAAUCCUGAUCAGGUGACCUCCCCCUGAAAGAUGCCUCCAGAUAACAAUAAGCCUUUUGAGAAAGCUAGCCAGCAAUCAAAAGCAAAUAGUGGUCAGUUUAGUGUUAAUUAGCAGCAAUAAUCUGCUUUGCUUGCCUUGGCCUACACACACAUCAAAGCAGCCAGCACGCUCUGAAUUGGACUCAAGUAUCGUGUCGUAGCAGUGAGUGUAUCUGUCGAUCUGUGUGUGCAGCUGAAA
rnacentral:lncRNA from 1 species